AUAACAAAUGAAUAUAUUCGUUUAAUUUCUGUUUCUGAGAGUUAGAAAAGUAAAACAUGAACUCAAUACACUUGGGAGAUGGAUGCACACGAAACAAAAGAUUAUGAUAAUAUAGAUUCCAAAAUACCAAAGAUAACAUGUUUAAAGAAAAUGUACAAACUAAAUCUUAAGUAUUUUGGACGGAGAGAGAGAGAGAAACAUAUGAGAAGAUUGGAGAGAUAUCAACCAAGAGGUGAGUUACAACCUAUACAAGAGAGUUGCAGACUGAGCAUUAGAAAUUUAAUGGUAGCAGUGUCACAGCCUAGACAUGUUACAACCUAAGACAUGUUACAGCCAAGACAUGUUACAAUCUAAGACAUAUUACAGCCUAAAACAUGUCACAACC